rnacentral:rRNA from 1 species
CCUACGGGCGGCAGCAGUGGGGGAUAUUGCACAAUGGGGGGAAUCCUGAUGCAGCGACGCCGCGUGGGUGAAGAAGCGCCUCGGCGCGUAAAGCCCUUUCAGCAGGGAAGAAAAUGACGGUACCUGAAGCAGAAGCCCCGGAUAACUACGUGCCAGCAGCCGCGGUAAUACGUAGGGGGCAAGCGUUAUCCGGAUUUACUGGGGGUAAAGGGGGCGCAGACGGCGAUGCAAGCCAGGAGUGAAAGCCCCGGGCCCAACCCCGGGACUGCUGUUGGAACUGGGUGGCUGGAGUGCAGGAGGGGCAGGCGGAAUGCCUGGUGUAGCGGUGAAAUGCGUAGAUAUCAGGAGGAACACCGGUGGCGAAGGCGGCCUGCUGGACUGCAACUGACGUUGAGGCACGAAAGCGUGGGGAGCAAACAGGAUUAGAUACCCGGGUAGUC